GGCUGGUCCGAGUGCAGUGGUGUUUACAACUAAUUGAUCACAACCAGUUACAGAUUUCUUUGUUCCUUCUUCACUUUGACUGCUUCACUCGGCUAGCCAGAA
ensembl:misc_RNA Y_RNA Y RNA